AUUUAAUAAGGGGAGGAAAAGAAACUAAAAAGAAUUCCUUGAGUAGCUGCGAGCGAAAUAGGAAAAGCCCAGCACGUAGGCUUCUUGUUGUUAUGAUAAGUAAGCGAUGCCGUGUACAGGAGUAUCCAUUAUCUAUUAUAUACAAUAGCAUGUUCAAGUCCUUCUUGAAUGAGGCCAUUUACCCAUAGAGGGUGCUAGGCCCGUUUAACUGUUAUUCAUAAUAGAGGGUGUUUCCUAAGAGUCGUAUUGCUUGAUAAUGCAAUACAAAGUUGGAGGUAAACUCCUUCUAAGGCUAAAUAUUACCAUGAGACCGAUAGCGAACAAGUACCGUGAGGGAAAGUUGAAAAGCACUCUGAAUAGAGAGUCAAAAAGUACGUGAAACCAUUCAGAGUUACAAAAGCCAGAAGUAGCUAAAUAUCUGAACAGAGAAAUUCAAUUUUACUAAUUUAUUCUUACAAUGGAAUAAAGGUAAAAUGCACUUUUCUCAAAGUAAGACAUUGCGAUCCAUUAGAAUACAUUCAUUGCACUUUGUGUGUUGUGAAUUUGAUUGUUUGUCAAUUAGGCCUUGUAUGGAGCUUACAUAUUUUAUGCUAGUACAAUUAUUUCUAAGGUGUAUUAUUGGAAAGCAAUGUAAACAUACUUGAGUGUCCUUGUACAAAUAUCUGAUGGUUGUAUACGAUCACACUAUGACUGAUUAUUUUUGAUCUGUUGUAUCUUUAUUGAUGCAUUAUGGACUUGUAGUGAUUUGCCGUGAUCAGCAAUGUAGAAGUUUAGUAAUCUUCCGGACCCGUCUUGAAACACGGACCAAGAAGUUUAACUUAUGCGCAAGUCAAUGAGUUUUGUUUGAAACCUCAUAGGCGAUAUUAACGUAACUGUCAUAUGUGGAAUUACGGUGUCCGUAAUGGACUUCCUUCUUUCCCAGGUAUCUGUUAAUCUAAGAUUUUACUUAAUAAUUCUGUUAUUUUGUAUGCUUGGUAUGAUAUACUGUGAGCGCAUAAGAUAU
rnacentral:rRNA from 1 species